GGCUCAAUGGUCUAGAGGUAUGAUUCGCGCUUUGGGUUGCAUCAUCUUGAAUGCGCGAGGCCCCGGGUUCGAUCCCCGGUUGAGCCC